UACGAAGGGGGCUAGCGUUGCUCGGAAUGACUGGGCGUAAAGGGCGCGUAGGCGGUCUGUUGCGUCAGGAGUGAAAACUCGGGGCUUAACCCCGAGCCUGCUUCUGAUACGGGCAGACUAGAGGUAUGCAGGGGAGAACGGAAUUCCUGGUGUAGCGGUGAAAUGCGCAGAUAUCAGGAGGAACACCGGUGGCGAAGGCGGUUCUCUGGGCAUUACCUGACGCUGAGGAGCGAAAGUGUGGGGAGCGAACAGG
rnacentral:rRNA from 1 species